rnacentral:rRNA from 1 species
GUUUCGGCAAGGGGGUCAUCCCGACUUACCAACCCGAUGCAAACUGCGAAUACCGGAGAAUGUUAUCACGGGAGACACACGGCGGGUGCUAACGUCCGUCGUGAAGAGGGAAACAACCCAGACCGCCAGCUAAGGUCCCAAAGUCAUGGUUAAGUGGGAAACGAUGUGGGAAGGCCCAGACAGCCAGGAUGUUGGCUUAGAAGCAGCCAUCAUUUAAAGAAAGCGUAAUAGCUCACUGGUCGAGUCGGCCUGCGCGGAAGAUGUAACGGGGCUAAACCAUGCACCGAAGCUGCGGCAGCGACACUAUGUGUUGUUGGGUAGGGGAGCGUUCUGUAAGCCUGUGAAGGUGUACUGUGAGGUAUGCUGGAGGUAUCAGAAGUGCGAAUGCUGACAUAAGUAACGAUAAAGCGGGUGAAAAGCCCGCUCGCCGGAAGACCAAGGGUUCCUGUCCAACGUUAAUCGGGGCAGGGUGAGUCGACCCCUAAGGCGAGGCCGAAAGGCGUAGUCGAUGGGAAACAGGUUAAUAUUCCUGUACUUGGUGUUACUGCGAAGGGGGGACGGAGAAGGCUAUGUUGGCCGGGCGACGGUUGUCCCGGUUUAAGCGUGUAGGCUGAUUUUCCAGGCAAAUCCGGAAAAUCAAGGCUGAGGCGUGAUGACGAGGCACUACGGUGCUGAAGCAACAAAUGCCCUGCUUCCAGGAAAAGCCUCUAAGCAUCAGGUAACAUCAAAUCGUACCCCAAACCGACACAGGUGGUCAGGUAGAGAAUACCAAGGCGCUUGAGAGAACUCGGGUGAAGGAACUAGGCAAAAUGGUGCCGUAACUUCGGGAGAAGGCACGCUGAUAUGUAGGUGAAGCGACUUGCUCGUGGAGCUGAAAUCAGUCGAAGAUACCAGCUGGCUGCAACUGUUUAUUAAAAACACAGCACUGUGCAAACACGAAAGUGGACGUAUACGGUGUGACGCCUGCCCGGUGCCGGAAGGUUAAUUGAUGGGGUUAGCGGUAACGCGAAGCUCUUGAUCGAAGCCCCGGUAAACGGCGGCCGUAACUAUAACGGUCCUAAGGUAGCGAAAUUCCUUGUCGGGUAAGUUCCGACCUGCACGAAUGGCGUAAUGAUGGCCAGGCUGUCUCCACCCGAGACUCAGUGAAAUUGAACUCGCUGUGAAGAUGCAGUGUACCCGCGGCAAGACGGAAAGACCCCGUGAACCUUUACUAUAGCUUGACACUGAACAUUGAGCCUUGAUGUGUAGGAUAGGUGGGAGGCUUUGAAGUGUGGACGCCAGUCUGCAUGGAGCCGACCUUGAAAUACCACCCUUUAAUGUUUGAUGUUCUAACGUUGGCCCGUUAUCCGGGUUGCGGACAGUGUCUGGUGGGUAGUUUGACUGGGGCGGUCUCCUCCUAAAGAGUAACGGAGGAGCACGAAGGUUGGCUAAUCCUGGUCGGACAUCAGGAGGUUAGUGCAAUGGCAUAAGCCAGCUUGACUGCGAGCGUGACGGCGCGAGCAGGUGCGAAAGCAGGUCAUAGUGAUCCGGUGGUUCUGAAUGGAAGGGCCAUCGCUCAACGGAUAAAAGGUACUCCGGGGAUAACAGGCUGAUACCGCCCAAGAGUUCAUAUCGACGGCGGUGUUUGGCACCUCGAUGUCGGCUCAUCACAUCCUGGGGCUGAAGUAGGUCCCAAGGGUAUGGCUGUUCGCCAUUUAAAGUGGUACGCGAGCUGGGUUUAGAACGUCGUGAGACAGUUCGGUCCCUAUCUGCCGUGGGCGCUGGAGAACUGAGGGGGGCUGCUCCUAGUACGAGAGGACCGGAGUGGACGCAUCACUGGUGUUCGGGUUGUCAUGCCAAUGGCACUGCCCGGUAGCUAAAUGCGGAAGAGAUAAGUGCUGAAAGCAUCUAAGCACGAAACUUGCCCCG